GACGAACGCUGGCGGCGUGCCUAAUGAAUGCGAGUCGAACGAGGUAUGGUACCUGUACCGCCUUCGGGCGGCUACGACCUCCAUACCGAGUGGCGAACGGGUGAGUAACACGUGGGUAACGUACCUCCGAGACGGGGACAACAGGAGGAAACUCCUGCUAAUACCCGAAUACUGCCGAUGCCUUGGCAUCGACCAGGAAAGCUCCGGCGCUUGGAGAUCGGCCCGCGGUCCAUUAGCUUGUUGGUGAGGUAACGGCUCACCAAGGCGACGAUGGAUAGCUGGUCUGAGAGGACGAUCAGCCACACUGGGACUGAGACAUGGUCCAGACUCCUACGGGAGUUAGCAUCCGGGAAUCUUGCUCAAUGGGCGCAAGCCUGAAGCAGCGACGCCGCGUGGGUGAUGAAGGUCUGCGGAUCGUAAAGCCCUGUCAGGAGGGAAGACACCCGACUGUACCUCCAAAGGAAGCCCCGGCUAACUACGUGCCAGCAGCCGCGGUAAUACGUAGGGGGCUAGCGUUGUCCGGAAUUACUGGGCGUAAAGCGCACGCAGGCGGUCUGAUAAGCGGAGGGUGCAAUCUCGAGGCUCAACCUCGGAACCGCUCGCCGAACUGUCAGACUGGAGCACGGGAGAGGGCAGUGGAAUUCCCGGUGUAGCGGUGGAAUGCGUAAAUAUCGGGAGGAACACCAGUGGCGAAGGCUGCUGCCUGGAACGUUGCUGACGCUGAGGUGCGAAAGCCAGGGGAGCAAACGGGAUUAGAUACCCCGGUAGUCCUGGCCGUAAACGAUGCUCACUAGGUGUUGCCGGCAUUAACCCCGGCAGUGCUGUUCUGCUAACGCGUUAAGUGAGCCGCCUGGGGAGACGGUCGCAAGGCU
rnacentral:rRNA from 1 species